AUUAAUUUAUUCUUAGGUUUUUGAUAUGAUUAAAAUAUAAUAAUGAUACUGUUUGGUUGUUGAGAAGAGAAAAGAAAAGAAAAGAAAAGAAAAGAAAGAUUUCAAAAGAGAAAAAGAAAAAAAGCACAAAAAGAAAGUGAGGCAGGUUGAUGACAGGCAUCACAUGAAUGUAUCCGAAAAUAAACGCAAGAGAACAAUCAACAAGGUCUUAAUCUCAAAACAAAUCUAUACAAAAUCAAAAAAGAUGCCAAGAUAUAUAACCUUCAACAGAUCUUAAACGUAAGAGAUUUAUUUAUUGAUGCUAUAUAUAGGGAAGAUAUUCAAAAAUAAAUCGAUCUCCAAAAAAGAAUCAAGGAGAAAUAAUGAAUCGUAACAGAUAAUCUCACUUCAUCACCAUUAUUUUUUCACUCUCGUGAAAAGAGAGUCCCUCAAACAAGCACACGAAACGAAAAAUUAAAGGAAAAAGUGCGUGCGUGCGUGCGUGUGUGUGUGUAUAUGUAAAUCGACAGCAGUAAAAUGAACAUUUAAGAAUAAGAAACAAAAAUCUCACAGAAAAUUUAAUUACAAUGCUGUACAAGAAGGGCGACAAGAGAGAAGAGCAACGAAGAGCAAAGGAAGCCACAGGAGACAGUAAUCGUAGUUCCAGCUCCGGCGUCCAUGGCCGGCAAUGGCGCCGCCGCGUCCUGCGCCGUUACAUAAGCCAUUGAGAGAACCGCCAUUCCCAAAACAACAAUCAAUAAGGCUCUCCAACUGCCAGAGUUUGCCAUUUAUUUCAGAAGAGAGAAGAAUCAAGCUGCUGCAACUGCGAGUAGCUUUUUCCUAUUUAUAGGGCUUGCUUUCAAAAUUUCGAAUUCGUAAUUUCUUAAUUAAAAUAAUUAAUCAUGUUGUUUAAUUGGUAAUUAAUUAUUACUUUGUGAUUAAUUAAUGUUUGCUCAUUUACUUUGUGGGACCCGCAGAGACACUGACAUGUUAUCCGUCGACACCUUGUAGUGGGCCCCGGAGGUAUUUAAUACCGUUGGAUUGUUUACUGAUGCACGUUGUAGACCGUUAGAUGAAUAAGUCUUAGAAUAGCAUUCCAACUGUGGUGGGUCUCAAAGUUUUGGUUGCAGAGAUCUGCAGACCGGCGUAACGUAGCCGUAAUCAUGUAGUUGAUUGGGACACGUGGCGGGAAAUGAGAAGAGCAUUUGGGUUUUGCUGUCAGUUGUUGUAGUUGAGAUGGCGGUCUUAUGAUGGGACAUGGAUGGUAAUUAUUAUUUCUAUUUAAUUUAUUUUGAAAUGUAUAUUAUUUAGCGUAAUAAUAAUUUAGUAACGUUUUUAAU
rnacentral:lncRNA from 1 species